rnacentral:rRNA from 1 species
CGGCAAACGGGUGCGGAACACGUACAGAACCUUCCUUUAAGCGGGGGAUAGCCCAUAGAAAUGUGGAUUAAUACCCCAUAAUAUUAUUGAGUGGCAUCAUUUAAUAAUUAAAGAUUUAUCACUUAGAGAUGGCUGUGCGGCUGAUUAGGUAGUUGGUGCGGGUAACGGCCCACCAAGCCUGCGAUCAGUAACUGGUGUGAGAGCACGACCAGUCACACGGGCACUGAGACACGGGCCCGACUCCUACGGGAGGCAGCAGUAAGGAAUAUUGGUCAAUGGACGCAAGUCUGAACCAGCCAUGCCGCGUGAAGGAUGAAGGCCCUCCGGGUUGUAAACUUCUUUUAUGUGGGAAGAAACCGAUUUAAUCUUAAGUCGUUGACGGUACCAUAGGAAUAAGCACCGGCUAACUCCGUGCCAGCAGCCGCGGUAAUACGGAGGGUGCAAGCGUUAUCCGGAUUCACUGGGUUUAAAGGGUGCGUAGGUGGGUCUGUAAGUCAGUGGUGAAAUCUCCGUGCUUAACAUGGAAACUGCCAUUGAUACUAUAGAUCUUGAAUUUUCCGGAGGUCAGCGGAAUAUGUCAUGUAGCGGUGAAAUGCUUAGAUAUGACAUAGAACACCAAUUGCGAAGGCAGCUGACUACAGGGAUAUUGACACUGAGGCACGAAAGCGUGGGGAUCAAACAGGAUUAGAUACCCUGGUAGUCCACGCCCUAAACGAUGGAUACUCGACAUUUGUGAUACACAAUAAGUGUC